GAGAAAAGAAAGAGAAGGAUAGGAAUGGAAGAGGGAGAUAGAGAGAGAAAGAAGGAGAGAAAGAGGAAAGAAAACGAGAAAGAGAGUGAGAGACAAAGAGAGAAAAGAGAGAGAGAGAGAGAAAAUGGAAUUUCUCUAUUUCACAUGUCCUCACUUUCUUCAUUACAGAUUAAUAAACCUCUUGAUGGAUUGGGACGAACUCCUUUAAUCGUUGCCUGUGACGUGGGCGCCGAUAGAAGAAUCAUCGAAAUAUUGAUAAAAGCUGGUGCGAAGUUAGAAGCGAAAGACAGAUGGGGUUGGACAGCUUUGCAUUGGGCUGUGAAGAGGAAUCACCUUCAUGCUGUGGAGAUCUUACUAUCUCGGGGAAGUGAGGUGAAUCCUCGAGAUAAAGCUGGUCGCACACCGCUGCACUUGGCCUGUUAUUGGGGAUACUUGCACACUGUCGAAAUUUUGUUGGGUCACAAUGGCAUCGAUGUCAAUGUGGUUGCCAACAAUGGAUACACACCACUGCAUGAGGGAGUUCGGGGGUAAUCCUUCCAGUUGCAAGUAUGAAGUGGUGUGUGCGAUGCUGAAGCAGGAUUCGGUGAAUUUAGAAAUUGUGAACAAAGAAUAUAGGACACCAUUGCUUGAAGCUGUUUCGGACGGUCACCUCGGAAUAAUGCAGCGGCUGAUAGCCAGGGGCGCGAAUGUAAAUGUUGUCGAACAUGGAG
rnacentral:misc_RNA from 1 species